GACCGUCAUCAUGUCUAAACUCAUCAAAGCUAUUAUUUUACCAGUUCAUGUCUAACUUUAGUUGGAAGUUAUGUUUGCAGUUACCAAAUAGUGGCAUGUUGUAAAAAUUGUUGUAGGUAGAUCCAGCCAUUACUAUCAAAGCUACUGGACAUCAAUGGUAUCGGAGUGUGCCGAGAGCAGUCAGUCCCCACCAAGGUCGAUUGUUUCCUCUGGUGGUAAACAGAAGGUCGUGAUGUGCUGCUUGGAUCCUUGGAACAUCAUGCUGCGUCGGUGGCAAAGACACUCAUCAGUUCCGAGUUCUGGCGUGGGCGUGGAUGUUCACGCCGAGCGGAGGAGCCUGAACUGAACAGCUGAACCCCUGAACGCCUGGCUGCUGGCCUUGGAUUCUAACCGGCCGACCAGAAAGGUUUGCUCCGGUUUUAUUUUUCAGCAAUGGGGGUCGAAAUUCUACUCCAACUCAGGUAUGCAUGUCAUGUCGCUUCUGUAUUCGGCAAUGCAUAUAUGUUCCAUGGAUACACCACACACAUGCCCAUCUUUUUUUUCAGACGAAGAAUGCAUGCUUUGUUUCAUCCUCAAAAUGUGCAUCAUGCUGUUCAUCAUCUUGUCCCAGUAGAAAAGUAUAGCACACGGUGCAGUACGGAAGCUAGUGAAGUACGUCCUCGUUGGAUUCUGGUUCUGGAACGCAUCGUGCUGCUCAUUGAUCAAUUGAUAUUGAAGAAGCAGAGAUUUUCCAUGGAGGAGGAGCCGAGGAGGAGGGGUCAUGGCUCAUGAGGCUCACGCACGCACGCACAUCGGAUGCCGCUGCGGCUGCGCGAUCUUUUGGCAGUGAGCAGCAGCCAGGAGGAGCAGUGGUUUGGUGGUACGCGGCUAGUACCGUAGCGUAGCGAGCAGCACGGCGAACCCAGUGGGGGCCCGGCCGUAGUCGUUUCUCUCUCACACAGGCAGCCCCAGCCUUGACCUUUUUACAUUGCUCGAGGCGGUGGUCUCGAGCUGCCGGCCGAGCCCGGAAGCCGGAGGACGGGAGGAAACUCCAAAACCCCGCCGUGUCAGGGGAGCUCGCGAGCUCCUCCUUUGGAGCACGAACGGAGAUACCGUUGGAUCCUCCAAUCGAAGCCAAGCCUCUGGUGUACUUUUACUGCGCAGAGUACGCAGUACAGGUGCUCGUACGCAUGUUGUUGCACGCGUUGUUAGACGAGAGGCCCGUUGUCCACAGCCUUCGGUGUUGGUGGUGCCAAGUGAGUGUAUAGUGUAACCUAUGUCAUCAUCCCCCCAAGUGUGUACCGCCUUCGUCCCGGCUAGUUUUAUCAGCAGUAGGAGGAGGAGGGAGUAGCAUGGACUGUGGUCGAGUGCAACGCCGUCCUACAGGGAGGCUAGGCUACGACGACGACGACGACACACACGGAUCCACCACCCGGGGCGGGGUGCGCCGGCCAUACGAGCCGAGCAGCAACCACUUGAAAGCGUCCGUGCCGUGCAUCUUAUCCGGGGCAGCGGCGGGCAGCCGACGGGAGAGCCCAACGGCCGGCUGGCCAUUAAUAUUCCCCCGUCCUCUCUCUCUCUCUCUCUGUGACUGUGUGCGCAUGAGCUCCGGAUGCCCUCGCUGCAUGGAAAGCUGUGAACAACUACUAGUCUAUGCGGCGGCCUUGCUCCUCUCUCUCUCUCUCUGCCUCUCUGGCGCUGCUCUGGAUGCCGCCUAGCUACUGCCGCGGCCUGGCCCUCUGGCCUACCCGUGCGCCGUGUCGCGCAGCGCGCACGCACGCUCGCUCACUCCCGUUCGCCGUUUCCCUUCCAGUGUGCUGCUGCGUCGUGUGGCCGCUGGUGCACCCGAUCCUGCUGCUCCACCCCCUCUGCUAGUAGUUGCUAGUGCUCCAACUCCAAACCACGCAUCGCGCUGGACUAAAAUAUUGAUCCUCGCGUGUCUGGCUUGGCUGAUAGCACUACCAUGCUGCUCAUAUGACAGUGGCUUGAGAAGAUGCUCCUCCUCCUGUAGUAUUAUGCAUGCAUGCUACACAAAACAAAGCUGGUAUUGGACCGGGUCUACGGGCAGAAGAUACGUACGUACAGAAAAUAUGCCAAGCUAUUUGUGUAAAAGGGUCAAAAGGUGAGGGGAAUAUCUCUUGUGGAUUACCAAAUAUAUCCGUUUGAUUGAUCUCUCCCUCCUUGCUUUUGCACCUUUGGUUGAACCUUUGCUUUCUUUUCUAGUUCCCUAGCAAAAUUCUCUCCUACCCCUUGUGUUGGUAAAGAAAAAAAGAAGAGGUUUUUCCCACAUCCACCGUAUUGCAUACGUAGAGAGGUUUUAAUGCCUGUUGCGCGAAGAUUUUUUACAGUCUGGGAGGAUGUGAAUGUGCCAUUCAAGGUUCGCAUCUACGCGCCGUACGUCCUUUUGGUGGUGUGCCAGUGGUACAGUCAAGCGUCUCCCUCUCCCAGCUCACCCUUUCUCCUCCUAGCUGAGCUGCCAGAUUAUCCCCCAACCAAUGUGGGAGUGCAAUCAUCACGGCAUCACCUUCCUUUAACUGCAAACGCCGUCCCCAAAAGCAAUGCCAUCUUCCUUCACAUUCAGAGCCCCGCCCUCGCCAGCUUCCAUUCCUUUCCUCGCCCAGAUGCUUGCUCGAGCUCGGCACUUGGGGGUCGGGAGCCUGACACCUUAAAAACAACGUCCUACCCAACCCAACCCAACCCAAGGGUACCUUCCAAGGCAGCCAUACAAGCUACUAAACCGCGGACGUUGCAAUGCUGCAACGUGCUGUUCAUUCGCACAAACAGCUCCUCCUCCAUCCAUCUCACGUCUCACAGCUGUUGCACCUGCUCUGACGCAUCAUUUGUUUCAAGUGUACUCUACAGAAGAAGAAAAAAGUACUUGGCAGCUUUGUAAGGUUAGGUUAGUACAAAGUCCAGAACAUUAUGUAAAUGGUAAUCGGAUGGAUAUGCAAGAUGCGGAGAAAAUCCCCGCCCUGGGCAUUGUGUGUACCGCUUGCGGUGAUCCAGCGUCUCCUGCCAGUUGUGGUCGUUGGACAGGGACAAACAGCACCGGACCAUGGUAGCCUUGCCUCCAGGACUUUGUACUCAUUCCUGCUCUGUGGCCGUAUCUUCCUCCUGUGUUGUCCGGUCUACUCGUAUCUCUACGGACCAUUGUACGCAUGCUACCUCUAGGUGUGUACUAACUGUUGGGUACGUUUUGGUUUCGCUCGUAUGCAUCGCUAGAUCGAGUGCACCGUCAGAUGGUGCACAGAGUGUUUCACGUACAUUUACAGUAGUUCAUGUAUUUGUAGGAGCCUAGGAGUCUUGUUGGAUUUACAUUUGAGGCUCUGUUUUCAUUUUUUUUUAAUGUACAACCGUGCAUAGUUUGUACUACUUGCUACAAGGUUUGUUUCGAGUGUUCUUUUCUGCCACAGAAUUGCUGGUUGGGUUGGUUCCAGCGAGACACCGAUACGUGCCGCAUGAGCUAGCAGCCAUCAUUGCGGGCAACAUGUAAAUGCAAUGCUGUUCCAACUGAAAAUGUCGAGCUGGGAGCUGGGAACGAACUGGAGUGACCGACCCUGACCAAAGAAACAAAGUUUUUUUUUAAAAAAAAAGAAAGAAAGGGAGAAGUCGUCGUUCUGCAGAGGAAGCUCUGCAAUAUUCUCUUGUCCAACGAUCAAACCUAAGCCCAGGAAGCAAACUCCCACAUGCUGAACAUCACCUGCUCGCUAGCUGCCAGAUAGUGGCAACCUGUCUUAACUAGAGUACAGGUGAGCAAGGAAAAAAAAAGAGAAGCUUUUAUAAAUAUUAUGAAUAGCAGUUCUACUUGUACAGUACAAGUGCUGAAUCCUGAAUGCACGCAGAGGAGGAGGACAGCUGCAGAAGGAGACGAUCGUUGGGACGCUGUGAAACGAGUUGUUUUCGCAUUUGAUUUCUUUGAAGAAAACAAACCAUUAAUGGGAUGCUUUGUGGGGGGGGUCCUGGGGAACAGCAACACCAGCUGUCUUGGCCUGCAUAUCAUUAGCAAGAGGGGGGGCCUUUUGUGCAAAAAAUGAUACUUCUUGGGGGGCCAAGGGCCAAAGGUGAGGUUUUUGCAAUCCGAUCCUCGACCCAGCUUCCAAGUCAAAAGGGCCGCCCGGGAAAGAGAAAGGGCUUGCUGGCUGUGGUUGGGCUGCUGCUGCUGCGGCAUGCCGGCAUCAUUGCGCAACCGGUGUCCUCUUUUCUGCUCUCGUUGGAAUCCAAGACGGUUUCUCUGUAAAGGGCAACACCAUGAGAAGAGAACACCAAAGUUCUUGGA